UCUUGAAGGUGGACUGCGGUAUGACAUUGUCGAUGCCUUACAAGCAGUCCAACACGUGAAUCAGUUUGAACACAUUGGGAUGGGUUGAGGUGUUAACCACACCAAGACCUACCUCAGGUUCAGAGGCGGACGACUCGUGCGUUCUCCUUUGUGCCAAAAAACCAAACCCCGGCGCUGAAUGCGUCAAGGAAUUAAAUUUUUGCUCUGAGCGCACCUGCAUGGCAUCGGAGACGGUGUUCGUGCGGGUUACGUUUUGACACAUUAUAUAGAAUGACUCUCGGCAACGGAUAUCUAGGCUCUUGCAUCGAUGAAGAACGUAGCGAAAUGCGAUACUUGGUGUGAAUUGCAGAAUCCCGUGAACCAUCGAGUCUUUGAACGCAAGUUGCGCCCGAUGCCAUUAGGUUGAGGGCACGUCUGCCUGGGUGUCACAUAUCGAAGCCUCCUGCCAAUUUCCUUUUGAUAGGUAUUGUGCAUGCUGGUGAAUGUUGGCCUCCCGUGAGCUCUAUUGUCUCAUGGUUGGUUGAAAAUCGAGACCUUGGUAGGGUGUGCCAUGAUAGAUGGUGGUUGUGUGACCCACGAGAAACCAAGAUCAUGUGCUGCCCUAUUCAAUUUGGCCUCUUUUACCCAUAUGCGUUUUGUAAACGCUCGUGAUGAGACCUCAGGUCAGGCGGGGCUACCCGCUGAAUUUAAGCAUAUCAAUAAGCGAGAAAGAAAAGAAACCA
rnacentral:rRNA from 1 species